rnacentral:rRNA from 1 species
GACGAACGCUGGCGGCGUGCUUAACACAUGCGAGUCGAACGGUAAGGCUCCAGCUUGCUGGGGUACACGAGUGGCGAACGGGUGAGUAACACGUGGGUGACCUGCCCUGCACUUCGGGAUAAGCCUGGGAAACUGGGUCUAAUACCGGAUAGGACCGCACCGUGAGGGUGUGGUGGAAAGUUUUUUCGGUGUGGGAUGGGCCCGCGGCCUAUCAGCUUGUUGGUGGGGUAAUGGCCUACCAAGGCGGCGACGGGUAGCCGGCCUGAGAGGGUGGACGGCCACAUUGGGACUGAGGCACGGCCCAGACUCCUACGGGAGGCAGCAGUGGGGAAUAUUGCACAAUGGGCGGAAGCCUGAUGCAGCGACGCCGCGUGGGGGAUGACGGCCUUCGGGUUGUAAACUCCUUUCACCAUCGACGAAGGGUUUCUGACGGUAGAUGGAGAAGAAGCACCGGCUAACUACGU